AGCGAACGCUGGCGGCAGGCCUAAUACAUGCAAGUCGAACGCACCUUCGGGUGAGUGGCGGACGGGUGAGUAACGCGUGGGAACGUGCCCUUUGGUUCGGAACAACACAGGGAAACUUGUGCUAAUACCGAAUGUGCCCUUCGGGGGAAAGAUUUAUCGCCAUUGGAGCGGCCCGCGUUGGAUUAGGUAGUUGGUGAGGUAAAGGCUCACCAAGCCUACGAUCCAUAGCUGGUCUGAGAGGAUGAUCAGCCAACACUGGGACUGAGACACGGCCCAGACUCCUACGGGAGGCAGCAGUAGGGAAUCUUGCGCAAUGGGCGAAANCCUGACGCAGCCAUGCCGCGUGAAUGAUGAAGGUCUUAGGAUUGUAAAAUUCUUUCACC
rnacentral:rRNA from 1 species